CUGAUCAUCUGUCCUGUGACUGGCUCAGCCACCCGAUCGCGAAACUACGUUGGCGCAUGAGCGGCCUAGGGCUACGGGGAUUCCGCGCCUGCGCUGUAGGCGUAUCUUCGCUCUGUUGGCCGUGGCUUUAGUUAGCACACACCUGCCUGCUACUCUGGUUAUCGCGGCGACCGCAGGUCUGGAUUGCCAGACAGGUUUUUCUUUUUACCUCGAGGCUUUCUCUGAAGGGAGUGGGAGCAUUUAAAAGGCGGCCUCAAGGGGGAUUGAGUCGGGGGAGAAUUAGCAGUAUUUGCUUCGGUUGUAAAACCGCAACUUUAAUUAAAUAAAUCGCCAUUCAUGGUGCAAGUAUAAACUUGGAACAGAGAUAUAAAUGAGUUCCUCAAGGUCAGAGACUGUUUUUAUGCAUUUCUACAUCUCCAACACCUGGCAAAGUGCCUAGGCCAUAAAAGAUGAUCUGCCUCUGAAACCUUCCGUGGGCACAGAAAUUUCUGCAAGGAAAGCAUCAGCAGCCAGAAUAAUUUGGUGAGGAAGAUUUGGCACAGAAUACCCUGACUGAGGUAUUGCUCCCAAAGGAGCAAUUCUCUGGGGUUAGGAGUCAAUUAUUAGGUGCCUACAAAAUACCCUGUUAUUUUGACUAAACCUGCCUUGCUAUCAAGGAGAAAAAAGAACUGUGCGCUGAAAACCAGAACGGCCAAAAAAGAAUGCAGCUGUGGUCGUGGAAAAGGUCCUUGAAUAACAGGGAAAGGGAGACAGGGCAGUUUAAGGAAGGAUAGGAAAAGGCUACUUCCUAACAGGAAUUAAUAAACUAAUGUUUUUAUUAUUUAAUAAGAGAAACCCAUUCCCUUGUUUCAAAUAAGGCAAAGAUAAGUUAGGAUUGGAUGUAGCUAUAGAUCCCUAUUUCUGGCACAGGCUGAUAAAAAUAAAGGAGGUCAGAACACAACCCCACUCUCACCCACAUCCCACUUUGCAAAAACCAUGACCCAACUGCCUCUGUAGAUACUGAGCUGUGGACUGCAGGCAAAGCCUCAGGAGCCUUUGCUCUACUGAGUGAUCUACCUUUAGAUGACAGCAGCAGCUGUGGAGUAACAUCAGAAUGUUGAUUGACAAUGCAGUUUGUGGGAAUAAAGCAAGGAGGGAAACCCUUUAACCAGUUUCCAUUUCUUGGUGUCUUGAAGUUUUCAUCUUACUAAAGAAUCAAACCGUGGUAUAAUCCAGAGGAAGAGCAUACCUCAUCCUGGCAGCCCUGCUAUACCACAUCUGCUUAUCCAUAGUGAAAGAAACCAUAUUUUUAAGAAAAUAUGAAAUGCAGAGAUGAAAACUGUUUUAGAGCAAAUGAUUUUAAAUAAAAAGAAGGUUGCGUACUCAUUU